rnacentral:rRNA from 1 species
CAGUAGCCGCGGGAAUACGUAGGUGGCAAGCGUUGUCCGGAAUUAUUGGGCGUAAAGGGCUCGCAGGCGGUUUCUUAAGUCUGAUGUGAAAGCCCCCGGCUCAACCGGGGAGGGUCAUUGGAAACUGGGAAACUUGAGUGCAGAAGAGGAAAGUGGAAUUCCAUGUGUAGCGGUGAAAUGCGCAGAGAUAUGGAGGAACACCAGUGGCGAAGGCGACUUUCUGGUCUGUAACUGACGCUGAUGUGCGAAAGCGUGGGGAUCAAACAGGAUUAGAUACCCGCGUGGUCCCUGUCUCUUAUAC